CUGUAAAUAAGGUCAACCAGGGCUUGAGGUACGGCGAAACCUUUCUUACCCUUAGCAGUAUCUUUCUGCAACAAACUCUGAUUCACUUCCUUAGUGAAUUUCCUUUGUUCAUCAGGUGGGAACCCAGACUCCACACAAGAUGAUGACCUAGAAACCUCUGAGUCAGCAGUAGACGAACAUUAGCCUGAAGAUAUGUCAGAC